rnacentral:rRNA from 1 species
GACGAACGCUGGCGGCGCGCCUAACACAUGCAAGUCGAGCGAUAACCAGUCCUGGACUGGGACGAGCGGCGAACGGGUGAGUAACACGUGGGUAAUCUACCCUCGGUUUCGGGAUAGCCCGGGGAACCCGGAUUAAUACCGAAUGGCCUCUCAGGCUCUCGGGCUUGAGAGAAAAGGUAGCUUCGGCCUCUGACCGAGGAUGAGCCCGCGGCCGAUUAGCUAGUUGGU